rfam:Trachymyrmex cornetzi contig17815, whole genome shotgun sequence.
CAAUCGGCCCUUUUCAGGGCCACCAAACAUUCUGUAAAUUACUAG